AUUGAACGCUGGCGGCAUGCCUUACACAUGCAAGUCGAACGGCAGCACGGGAGCUUGCUCCUGGUGGCGAGUGGCGAACGGGUGAGUAAUACAUCGGAACGUACCCUGAAGUGGGGGAGUAACGUAGCGAAAGUUACGCUAAUACCGCAUAUUCUGUGAGCAGGAAAGAGGGGGAGUCGCAAGACCUCUUGCUUUAGGAGCGGCCGAUGUCGGAUUAGCUAGUUGGUGAGGUAAAGGACUCACCAAGGCGACGAUCCGUAGCGGGUCGUGAGAGGAUGAUCCGCCACACUGGGAC
rnacentral:rRNA from 1 species